UACGUAGGUGGCAAGCGUUGUUCGGAAUUAUUGGGCGUAAAGGGCGCGUAGGCGGCAUGUUAAGUCGGCUGUGAAAGCCUGGGGCUCAACCCCAGAGGGUCGGCCGAUACUGGCAAGCUAGAGUACGGAAGAGGUAGCUGGAAUUCCCGGUGUAGCGGUGAAAUGCGUAGAUAUCUGGAGGAAUACCGGUGGCGAAGGCGGCAUCCUGGACCGGCAUUGACGCUGAGGAGCGAAAGCCAGGGGAGCAAACGGG
rnacentral:rRNA from 1 species